UACGUAGGGGGCUAGCGUUGUCCGGAAUCAUUGGGCGUAAAGCGCGUGUAGGCGGUCCGGUAAGUCCGCUGUGAAAGUCGGGGGCUCAACCCUCGAAUGCCGGUGGAUACUGUCGGGCUAGAGUGCGGAAGAGGCGAGUGGAAUUCCUGGUGUAGCGGUGAAAUGCGCAGAUAUCUGGAGGAACACCGGUGGCGAAGGCGGCAUCCUGGACCAACACUGACACUGAGGAGCGAAAGCCAGGGGAGCAAACGGG
rnacentral:rRNA from 1 species